rnacentral:rRNA from 1 species
UACGUAGGGGGCAAGCGUUGUCCGGAAUUAUUGGGCGUAAAGAGCGUGUAGGCGGCCCGAUUAGUCCGCUGUGAAAGUCCAGGGCUCAACCCUGGAAUGCCGGUGGAUACUGUCGGGCUAGAGUCCGGAAGAGGAGAGUGGAAUUCCUGGUGUAGCGGUGAAAUGCGCAGAUAUCAGGAGGAACACCCGUGGCGAAAGCGGCUCUCUGGGACGGUACUGACGCUGAGACGCGAAAGCGUGGGGAGCAAACAGG